AACAUCGCGCACCUGCGGGAACCUGCGGAGGGAUCAUUACCGAGUUUACAACUCCCAAACCCCUGUGAACAUACCUAUACGUUGCCUCGGCGGAUCAGCCCGCGCCCCGUAAAAAGGGACGGCCCGCCCGAGGACCCCUAAACUCUGUUUUUAGUGGAACUUCUGAGUAAAACAAACAAAUAAAUCAAAACUUUCAGCAACGGAUCU
rnacentral:misc_RNA from 1 species